rnacentral:misc_RNA from 1 species
GAAAACUCAAAGACAUGGAGAAGAAAAAUGAGGAAUCAGCUCCAAGAAAUGAUGAUGGGGAGACUCAGAUACAUUACAAAGGCUGGAAAGCCAUGCCUUUUGUCAUAGGGAAUGAGACUUUUGAGAAGCUGGGAGCUAUUGGAACAUUAGCCAAUCUCUUGAUUUAUCUGACUACAGUCUUCAAUAUGAAGAGCAUAACAGCUGCAACUCUACUCAAUAUCUUCAAUGGCAGCACUAAUUUAGUCACUUUGGUUGGAGC